rnacentral:rRNA from 1 species
CCGGGGAACUGAAACAUCUAAGUACCCGGAGGAAAGGAAAUCAAGAGAGACUCCGUUAGUAGUGGCGAGCGAACGCGGACCAGCCGAGCCUUGAGAGUGACUGGAAUGGCCUGGAAAGGCCAGCCACAGCGGGUGACAGCCCCGUACAGGAAGCUCGAUGGGACGUAUCAAGUAGGGCGGGACACGUGAAAUCCUGUCUGAAGAUCGGGGGACCACCCCGAAGGCUAAGUACUCCUUACUGACCGAUAGCGAACCAGUACCGUGAGGGAAAGGUGAAAAGCACCCCGACGAGGGGAGUGAAACAGUUUCUGAAACCGGACGCCUACAAGCAGUCGGAGGGGCCUUGAGCCCUGACGGCGUACCUUUUGUAUAAUGGGUCAACGACUUGGUCUGUCGAGCAAGCUUAAGCCGGUAGGUGUAGGCGCAGCGAAAGCGAGUCUUAAAAGGGCGCACGAGUUCGACGGAUCAGACCCGAAACCAGAUGA